GACGAACGCUGGCGGCGUGCCUAAUACAUGCAAGUAGAACGCUGAAGAGAGGAGCUUGCUCUUCUUGGAUGAGUUGCGAACGGGUGAGUAACGCGUAGGUAACCUGCCUUGUAGCGGGGGAUAACUAUUGGAAACGAUAGCUAAUACCGCAUAACAAUGGAUGACCCAUGUCAUUUAUUUGAAAGGGGCAAAUGCUCCACUACAAGAUGGACCUGCGUUGUAUUAGCUAGUAGGUGAGGUAACGGCUCACCUAGGCGACGAUACAUAGCCGACCUGAGAGGGUGAUCGGCCACACUGGGACUGAGACACGGCCCAGACUCCUACGGGAGGCAGCAGUAGGGAAUCUUCGGCAAUGGGGGCAACCCUGACCGAGCAACGCCGCGUGAGUGAAGAAGGUUUUCGGAUCGUAAAGCUCUGUUGUAAGUCAAGAACGAGUGUGAGAGUGGAAAGUUCACACUGUGACGGUAGCUUACCAGAAAGGGACGGCUAGCUACGUGCCAGCAGCCGCGGUAAUACGUAGGUGGCAAGCGUUGUCCGGAUUUAUUGGGCGUAAAGCGAGCGCAGGCGGUUCCUUAAGUCUGAUGUGAAAGCCCCCGGCUCAACCGGGGAGGGUCAUUGGAAACUGGGGAACUUGAGUGCAGAAGAGGAGAGUGGAAUUCCAUGUGUAGCGGUGAAAUGCGUAGAUAUAUGGAGGAACACCAGUGGCGAAGGCGACUCUCUGGUCUGUAACUGACGCUGAGGCUCGAAAGCGUGGGUAGCAAACAGG
rnacentral:rRNA from 1 species